rnacentral:rRNA from 1 species
CCUACGGGUGGCAGCAGUGAGGAAUAUUGGUCAAUGGACGGAAGUCUGAACCAGCCAUGCCGCGUGCAGGAGGACGGCUCUAUGAGUUGUAAACUGCUUUUGUACGAGGGUAAACCUGAAUACGUGUAUUCAGCUGAGAGUACUGUACGAAUAAGGAUCGGCUAACUCCGUGCCAGCAGCCGCGGUAAUACGGAGGAUCCAAGCGUUAUCCGGAUUUAUUGGGGUUAAAGGGUGCGGAGGCGGAUUGAUAAGUUAGCGGUGAAAUGUCCGAGCUUAACCCCGGCACUGCCUCUAAUACUGGCGAUCUAGAGAGGAGAUGAGGUAGGCGGAAUGUAUGGUGUAGCGGUGAAAUGCUUAGAGAUCACACAGAACACCGAUUGCGAAGGCAGCUUACCA